rnacentral:rRNA from 1 species
UUGCAAACUGGAGAUGGCGACCGGCGCACGGGUGAGUAACACGUAUCCAACCUGCCGAUAACUCGGGGAUAGCCUUUCGAAAGAAAGAUUAAUACCCGACGGCAUAAUAGAACCGCAUGGUUUGAUUAUUAAAGAAUUUCGGUUAUCGAUGGGGAUGCGUUCCAUUAGGCAGUUGGUGGGGUAACGGCCCACCAAACCUUCGAUGGAUAGGGGUUCUGAGAGGAAGGUCCCCCACAUUGGAACUGAGACACGGUCCAAACUCCUACGGGAGGCAGCAUG